ensembl:lncRNA
AGAAGAAGGAUGAGAAAAGAAUGUGGAAACGGCCAAAUAAGGCACAAUGUUAUCUGGUGUGAACCAAUCAGGGUGGGACAUGACAGCAUGGUUUUGUAGGUAAAAAUGUAUCUAAGCUGUGUUUAGUAGUGAAUAAACACCAUUUUGCUGCUCAUCAUAUUAGUGUGCGUCUGCCGUCAUUUGGCCCUGAUCAGGUAAUUGGUCAGUGAGCGCAGAGGCCUAACACAGGUGGCUAACAUCGUUGUUGCAGAAAGCAACAAAUGGUGCCCCGUGUGAGGAGGCAGACUGUGUUUUAAUGCCCUCUGUGCAGCUGCAAGCUGUGGGGUGACGCCAUAGCGUGAGAUUUGGGGUGACGCCCAGCCCGAGUACCCUGAAGAGAGGGGGAGCCUGCAGAAGACAAUUGGGGUGACGCCCUGCAGAAGAUCAUGGUGACGACGAUAGUGCCGGCCAGCAAGUAGAACCUGUGUUGCGGUGGGGUCCGGGGGGACGACAGGACGCUCACGGAGGACCCGUGUGGACGGCGGCGUCAAGUGUGACUUCGUGGUGACGGCGACGGGCUGAUCAUGGACCAUGUUCUUAAGUUUCUUGCAGGGGCCGAGAGGAAACGGAGCCGCCAAUGACCGCUGGCGAGAUGGCGGCGGGUGAGCCGACCGCGCUCAGUUCAAAAGAAGACAAACAACAAGAGAGGGAACGUUCGUUGUCUCGUCCCCCUCCCCCCUAUCCGGACCCCUCAGGGGGAACGUUAGUUGGUCUGCUCGAGGCUUUCAUCAAGGAGCUUCCCUGGCAAAAUGGCUGUCUCUCCUCAAACAGAAAGAGAGACAGAGGAAGUGCCAACACAGAGGUAACCAUGAAAAUUCUAGAGGUGAGCAGCCCUGGGCAACGGCCCUGCAAAGACACCCCCUGGCCCCACAUGUCCACCACUCCAUCACGUGCUCUCCAUCCACUCACUUUGUCUCCUUUGCCAGCAGUUUGGGACUUCCGCACGUCUUCACAGCACUUGAGGAUGCACUCCUCAGUGCCCAGGAAAAUGGAUAAGAACUGUGAAAUACUCGACCAGUUCAACAGACGUCUUCAGGCCUUGACCAGAUGCAUGGCGAUGCUCACCUUGGAACUGCCUGAGGGCAGCGAUGAUUCCACCAGCUCGGUCACAGUGAGUGAAAACUGCUGCUCUUUGAGGACAUCGCUGUAUCCGUUGAGCACCAGUUGGGGGGAAAUGGAGGCACCUUACCGACACCCAAAAGCCCAGGAGAACUUGGAAAGCUCCAUCCCAGAAAGGAAAGCGGAGCAGGGACUGGGCCUCAGUGAUCAGAGAAAGCCUGAUGUGAUGGUGGCUCCCACGGUGCAGGACCUGCCCUUAGAGGAUGAGGCUAUGCAAAGUCAUUCGGAGCAUCCUAACAUAAAAAUGCAGGCACCACAGUUCCUGAAGAGGAGUUUCUCAGAGCCUGUCCUGGGUCAGAGAGACUCCCAGCUUCCCCAUCCUCUGAGGCACUCAAGGAGGCCCACUUACUCGCUCUUCCAGCGUGGGCAUGGGCAAGCUCUGGCAAGGAGGUCAGCAGCAUGGGCCCUUGUCCUAUGGCGAAAAUCUGCCCCCGAGACAGAUACGUGCAGACAAGAAACAAGGAUUCCAGUCCACAUUGCCUGCUGCAGAAUCUAUGAAGGCCCUGAUGACCAUCAGAUCAAGAUGAUGCAUCUGUGGCUGGAGCAAUAUGAAUAUGUUGAGAGGCGAAAGUUGGAAUUUUAUAGAGACUACUACACCCAGCCUAACAACGAAGGAUCCCAGGGCGUGGCUCCAUCUGACACUGCAGCCCCGGUUGUUGCAGGAGGAGCAACAGUUCGAGAGAGGAAUUCACCCGAGGUCAAGGCCAGUGAGCAACAGGACAAGAAAAAUACCACUGCUGCCCAGCAGCCAGAGGGGCUCCCUGAACGUACCCUCGUGGAGAGUUCUUCGGUUCUGCCAUGGAGGCGUCUGCCACCGGGUAGACCAUUCAGACCCCAAGCAGCACACGCAGAGAUGACGCCCAGGCAAGAAGCAGCAGAACACACGACUCCUAGACCAGAGACACCACCUGUGCUGUGCAGAAACUGCUGUGCACCAGCCCUCCUGUGCCAUUUCAUUCAGAAUGCCGGGGCCAAGCUCCGAGCUGCCUGCAUGGCCCUCUAUUCCCUGAUCAGAAAGGCAACUAAGAAGCUCUCAAAGAAGGGAAGAGAGCCCAUCAUGAAAAACAGAUCCUUAGAGCAGGCCAGGCUGGACACAGAUCAACGUAGGAGUAGACGAUCACUGAGUCUACUGGCCAAAAAGAAAAACCCACGUACACCUCAGGAGGCAAUGAGGAAGGACAUGGUGGCAUCUCAAGAUAAGACUUUCAGCGAUGCCAGUGAGGCCAGAGGUGCCGAAAAAGCAUUGAGCCAGGGUGGCAGCAGCCACAGGCACCUGGACGUGCUGGCUCCUGUUGCCCAUAGAGAGCCAGCCAACGUGCUGCUACCUCGGAGAAGGCUGCUCUUGGAGACUGAAGCUCCUGCCCCAUCUCAGUCUGUUCUAGCAGAUGUCCAGGCAGGCACAGCUGCAGUGAGUAGUGGAUUACUGCCAGAUGCUACCAGGGGGCAGAAGCAGAAGGGCAAGGGACACACCCAGGACAAGCCAGCUCCUCCAAGAAGAAAGUCCCCAAAGAAAAAGCAGUCCUCCAGUGAGCAGAGACCCUCAGGUCUGCCACAGCCUCCAAAUCCCACUGGGACCAACGUUCCAGUCCUCUUCGUGCAGCAGCAGAGACCCUCAGGUCUGCCACAGCCUCCAAAUCCCACUGGGACCAACGUUCCAGUCUUCAUGCUGGAGCAGAGACCCUCAGGUCUGCCACAGCUUCCAAAUCUCGCUGGGACCGACAUUCCAAUCUCCCUCCUGCAGGAGCUUUUCACAGCACUUAGAGAUUUGAAGAAAGCCAGACAAACUGCUGAUGAGCUGCAGAAGCAGGUGCUGGCUUCCUUCUCAAAUCAGCCCACAAACAAUGCCAAGUAACUGAGGACAGAUACGGCAGCAGAGGAACCUGGGGCGAGGACACAGAGUGGAAGAGAAGGGCGAGGGAUGCACCCAGAACAGAUCUGACUAUGGGUCACUCUGCCCUACAUGCACCAAAGCUCCAUGCUGCUGCCAGCCAGGAGGUGUAAGCUCCCAGCGAUUGGCUGCACCUGCAACUGCAGCCCCAGGUGCAGGAAGAGAAGUGACUGUGAGAGAAGAAUCCCUCCAUGAGGACAGGGACAAGAGGCAGCAGACCUGAAAAAUGCUCCUGCCGAUCAGCAGCCAGAGGGGCUCCUUUGGCUAAGGACAUCAACCCCUGUAAUUGCAGGAGGGAGCCCACCAGGACACACAGUCAGUGAGCAG